CACGUAGUUAGCCGUGGCUUUCUGGUUGGAUACCGUCACUGCAUGAGCAGUUACUCUCACACACGUUCUUCUCCAACAACAGAGUUUUACGACCCUAAAGCCUUCAUCACUCACGCGGCGUUGCUCCAUCAGACUUUCGUCCAUUGUGGAAGAUUCCCUACUGCUGCCUCCCGUAGGAGUCUGGGCCGUGUCUCAGUCCCAAUGUGGCCGAUUACCCUCUCAGGUCGGCUACGUAUCACAGCCUUGGUGGGCCUUUAUCUCACCAACUAGCUAAUACGCCGCGGGUCCAUCCAGAAGUGAUAGCCGAAGCCAUCUUUUAAAAGAAACCAUGCGGUUUACUUUAUUAUGCGGUAUUAGCAUCUGUUUCCAGGUGUUAUCCCCCACUUCUGGGCAGGUUACCCACGUGUUACUCACCCGUUCGCCACUCACUUUAUAGUUAAAAUCAUCUUCGAUGCAAGCAUCUCUAAAUCAUUCAACGAAAGUGCGUCCGACUUGCAUGU
rnacentral:rRNA from 1 species